rnacentral:rRNA from 1 species
CACUAUCGUUAACUGAAUACAUAGGUUAACGAGGCGAACCGGGGGAACUGAAACAUCUAAGUACCCCGAGGAAAAGAAAUCAACCGAGAUUCCCCCAGUAGCGGCGAGCGAACGGGGAGCAGCCCAGAGUCUGAAUCAGCUUGUGUGUUAGUGGAACGGUCUGGAAAGUCCGACGGUACAGGGUGAUAGUCCCGUACACCAAAAUGCACAGGCUGUGAACUCGAAGAGUAGGGCGGGACACGUGGUAUCCUGUCUGAAUAUGGGGGGACCAUCCUCCAAGGCUAAAUACUCCUGACUGACCGAUAGUGAACCAGUACCGUGAGGGAAAGGCGAAAAGAACCCCGGCGAGGGGAGUGAAAAAGAACCUGAAACCGUGUACGUACAAGCAGUGGGAGCACCUUCGGGUGUGACUGCGUACCUUUUGUAUAAUGGGUCAGCGACUUAUAUUCUGUAGCAAGGUUAACCGUAUAGGGGAGCCGCAGGGAAACCGAGUCUUAACUGGGCGUUAAGUUGCAGGGUAUAGACCCGAAACCCGGUGAUCUAGCCAUGGGCAGGUUGAAGGUUGGGUAACACUAACUGGAGGACCGAACCGACUAAUGUUGAAAAAUUAGCGGAUGACUUGUGGCUGGGGGUGAAAGGCCAAUCAAACCGGGAGAUAGCUGGUUCUCCCCGAAAGCUAUUUAGGUAGCGCCUCGUGAAUUCAUCUUCGGGGGUAGAGCACUGUUUCGGCUAGGGGGUCAUCCCGACUUACCAACCCGAUGCAAACUACGAAUACCGAAGAAUGUUAUCACGGGAGACACACGGCGGGUGCUAACGUCCGUCGUGAAGAGGGAAACAACCCAGACCGCCAGCUAAGGUCCCAAAGUCAUGGUUAAGUGGGAAACGAUGUGGGAAGGCACAGACAGCCAGGAUGUUGGCUUAGAAGCAGCCAUCAUUUAAAGAAAGCGUAAUAGCUCACUGGUCGAGUCGGCCUGCGCGGAAGAUGUAACGGGGCUAAACCAUGCACCGAAGCUGCGGCAGCGACACUAUGUGUUGUUGGGUAGGGGAGCGUUCUGUAAGCCUGCGAAGGUGUGCUGUGAGGCAUGCUGGAGGUAUCAGAAGUGCGAAUGCUGACAUAAGUAACGAUAAAGCGGGUGAAAAGCCCGCUCGCCGGAAGACCAAGGGUUCCUGUCCAACGUUAAUCGGGGCAGGGUGAGUCGACCCCUAAGGCGAGGCCGAAAGGCGUAGUCGAUGGGAAACAGGUUAAUAUUCCUGUACUUGGUGUUACUGCGAAGGGGGGACGGAGAAGGCUAUGUUAGCCGGGCGACGGUUGUCCCGGUUUAAGCAUGUAGGCUGGUUGUCCAGGCAAAUCCGGAUAAUCAAGGCUGAGGUGUGAUGACGAGGCACUACGGUGCUGAAGUAACAAAUGCCCUGCUUCCAGGAAAAGCCUCUAAGCAUCAGGUAACAUCAAAUCGUACCCCAAACCGACACAGGUGGUCAGGUAGAGAAUACCAAGGCGCUUGAGAGAACUCGGGUGAAGGAACUAGGCAAAAUGGUGCCGUAACUUCGGGAGAAGGCACGCUGGUGUGUAGGUGAAGUCCCUGCGGAUGGAGCUGAGACCAGUCGAAGAUACCAGCUGGCUGCAACUGUUUAUUAAAAACACAGCACUGUGCAAACACGAAAGUGGACGUAUACGGUGUGACGCCUGCCCGGUGCCGGAAGGUUAAUUGAUGGGGUUAUCCGUAAGGAGAAGCUCUUGAUCGAAGCCCCGGUAAACGGCGGCCGUAACUAUAACGGUCCUAAGGUAGCGAAAUUCCUUGUCGGGUAAGUUCCGACCUGCACGAAUGGCGUAAUGAUGGCCAGGCUGUCUCCACCCGAGACUCAGUGAAAUUGAACUCGCUGUGAAGAUGCAGUGUACCCGCGGCAAGACGGAAAGACCCCGUGAACCUUUACUAUAGCUUGACACUGAACAUUGAGCCUUGAUGUGUAGGAUAGGUGGGAGGCUUUGAAGCGUGGACGCCAGUCUGCGUGGAGCCAACCUUGAAAUACCACCCUUUAAUGUUUGAUGUUCUAACGUUGGCCCCUGACCGGGGUUGCGGACAGUGUCUGGUGGGUAGUUUGACUGGGGCGGUCUCCUCCCAAAGCGUAACGGAGGAGCACGAAGGUUAGCUAAUCCUGGUCGGACAUCAGGAGGUUAGUGCAAUGGCAUAAGCUAGCUUGACUGCGAGCGUGACGGCGCGAGCAGGUGCGAAAGCAGGUCAUAGUGAUCCGGUGGUUCUGAAUGGAAGGGCCAUCGCUCAACGGAUAAAAGGUACUCCGGGGAUAACAGGCUGAUACCGCCCAAGAGUUCAUAUCGACGGCGGUGUUUGGCACCUCGAUGUCGGCUCAUCACAUCCUGGGGCUGAAGUAGGUCCCAAGGGUAUGGCUGUUCGCCAUUUAAAGUGGUACGCGAGCUGGGUUUAGAACGUCGUGAGACAGUUCGGUCCCUAUCUGCCGUGGGCGCUGGAGAAUUGAGGGGGGCUGCUCCUAGUACGAGAGGACCGGAGUGGACGCAUCACUGGUGUUCGGGUUGUCAUGCCAAUGGCACUGCCCGGUAGCUAAAUGCGGAAGAGAUAAGUGCUGAAAGCAUCUAAGCACGAAACUUGCCCCGAGAUGAGUUCUCCCUGAGACUUUAAGUCUCCUGAAGGAACGUUAAAGACGAUGACGUUGAUAGGCCGGGUGUGUAAGCGCAGCGAUGCGUUGAGCUAACCGGUACUAAUGAACCGUGAGGCUUAACCUU